AGGGGUAUAGCUCAGCUGGUAGAGCGCCGGUCUCCAAAACCGGAUGUCGGGGGUUCAAAUCCCUCUGCCCCUG
rnacentral:tRNA from 1 species